ensembl:rRNA 5S_rRNA 5S ribosomal RNA
GUCUACGACCAAACCACCCUGAACGUGCCUGAUCUUGUGUGAUCUCGGAAGCUAAGCAGGGUUGGGCCUGGCUAGCACUUGGAUGGGAGACUGCCUGGGAAUACUGGGUACCAUAGGCU